CCAAAAUGAUGAACACACAUUACGCGAGUCGUCUUCUUCUUCUUCAACACAUAUCCUUUCCACACUCAAAUCUGGGCCUCUUUGUUUUCAACUGCAAGACAACCGCAACAAAAGCCUCGUUGCUAUGGGAUUUGGAAAGGGAAAGGGAAAGGGAAAAGGCAAGGGAAAGGGAAAAGUCUAAGAAAAGAGGUCUUUCACUGGAAGAGAAGCGUGAAAAGAUGCUUCAAAUCUUUUACGAUUCGCAGGACUUCUUUCUUCUCAAGGAACUUGAGAAGCUGGGCCCCAAGAAAGGUGUUAUUAGCCAAUCAGUAAAAGAUGUUGUCCAAAGUCUAGUAGAUGAUGACCUUGUUUCAAAAGACAAGAUAGGAACUUCUGUAUACUUCUGGAGUCUUCCAAGCUGUGCUGGUAAUCAGCUGAGGAAUGUGUAUCGGAAACUUGAAGCUGAUCUUCAAAGCAGUAAGAAAAGGCUUGCAGAACUUGUUGAACAAUGUGGUUCCUUGAAGAAGGGAAGGGAGGAAUCUGAUGAACGGGAGGAGGCCUUAGGUGAGCUAAAAGCUAUUGAACAGAAGUGUAAUGAGUUAAAGGAUGAAAUGGGACAGUAUGCAGACAAUGAUCCAGCUGCCGUUGAAUCAAUGAAGAAAGCUAUAGAAGUUGCGCAUGCAGCAGCUAACAGAUGGACAGACAACAUCUUCACAGUGCGACAAUGGUGCUCAAACAAUUUCCCUCAGGCCAAAGAGCAGCUUGAACACAUGUACAAGGAGGUAUCUUCCUUAUUUUUUUAAUUUACAUGUGCAUUUCCUUACAAACUGUGGAGCACAAUUAAAUUCACCAGCACCCUGCUAUCCAAAAGUGACAUCCCUCCUAAUUGUGCUCUGUCAAGCUGAAAUAUGUGGAAGGAGCUUACAUCUGUAGUUUGUGCUUGAAUCAUUCGUGGAUUUGGAUAGGAAUUUGGAAAGAGAAAGGAAAUGGGGAGGGAAAUGUCAAUGAAAUAUAAGCUAAUUUUUUCUCCAUUUCCCUCGCCUUUCCCUUUCUCUUUUGCUUUCUAAAUCUCCAUCCAAAUCCAUGAUCCAAACACAGCUUUAAUAUUUGUGGGGAGGUGGUUUUGGAAUACUCCUUUGAUCCAGACAGGCCCUCGAGAGAUCCUUGAGACGUCACCUGAAACAGAAGAACAACUCUGGUCAGUGGUGCUGGAAUUAGCACUCCGACUAGCAUGUUAGCUUCUAUGGAAAGAUUAGUUGCUUUUGGUUUCUUAAGGUACAAGUUUUUAGAACAUCCCUCCUCCUUCAGCCUCCCUCUCCCUUUUAUAGAGUCAUUCUCCUUGAUAUUUUCUCCAUGUAGCUUAGUCCUUCAUCAUCAUUCUCUUAGGGCCCAUCUCCCUACUACACUUUUUAGAAAUGGGCAGUUUGGUCCCACUUAAUGGGACCAUAUUGACUUACCUGAUAUACUCGGCUCUGACGUACGACACAAGCAGUGUUGUGAAAAGCGCACCUAGGCGCAAGGCGCAGCGAGGUGCACCCAUUGCGUCUGAAGGGGACCUAGGCGAGGUGCAUUUGAAGAGUCGCGCGCCUUGGACGCGACUUUGACCAGGCGCAGCGAGGCGCGAGCCUGAAGGGGGUUUUUUUUUUUUUCUUCUUGAAUCUGAUCUAACGGUUGUGAUCUGUGUGGGAGAGGCUCCAACAACAUAGGAUUACAACUCAUGUAAUACAACAUAACCCAACCCAAAUCAGUGUAUGACUCACUCAAAGCCCUAAUCUAUCGAAGAAGAAAUCUGUCGACUUCGACUUCAGCUGAGCUUCUCUCUCGACUUCGACUUCGACUUCGACUGGGCUCCUCUCCUCUCUCGACGUUGACUUCAGCUCAUCAGGUGGGAAUAACGGAUGAUUUCGACUAUUUGGAGUUACCAGCAAUGCUCCCUCUAGGGCCAGUUGGUGAUUAGAUCCCCGAAGGCAAUCCAUAGGGUCACGAAUGGUAAAAAUGGGUCACUUAAAGGACUUACAAAUGUAUGUUUGAGCUCAACAUCAAGCACACUAGAAAAACGAAGAAAGAAAAAACGAGAACAAAAAUGAUCUUAUUGAUUAGUUUAAAACUUGAGGAUGAGCUAUUAUCUGACAACAGAUAUCCUUUUUUACCCGUACCCAUAAGCCCCCCAACCUUGACGAAUGUGGGGGAUGGAGAGAAACUCAACCAACAAACUUGUAAAUUUUGGAUGCCGCAAAUAUACCUUUUCCUUUCACAAAGACAGUUAGGAGAAACACGUUUAAUUUGCACAAUUGCAUUUUGUCGGUGCUUUUUGCAUGAGACUUGAUCAUUUUCUUGUUUGUGAUGGCUUUCUUCAUACUCAUUAUGAGUUAGAUUUCUCUCAAAUUAGCAUUGUAAUUUAGUCUUUUUUCUUAAUUCUGUGAAAAAAAUAUUAGGCUUCACGCA